rnacentral:rRNA from 1 species
ACUCAAAGGAAUAGACGGGGGCCCGCACAAGCGGUGGAGCAUGUGGAUUAAUUCGUCACUAACCGAAGAACCUUACCCAGGCUUGACAUCGAGGGAAAGGCCCUGAAAGGGGUCCCCCGGCGCAAGCCGGCCCGAAGACAGGUGUUGCAUGGCUGUCGUCAGCUCGUGUCGUGAGAUGUUGGGUUAAGUCCCGCAACGAGCGCAACCCUCACCUGAUGUUGCCAGCGUAAAGUCGGGAACUCUUCAGGAACUGCCCGUGCAAGCGGGAGGAAGGUGGGGACGACGUCAAGUCGGCAUGGCCCUUACGCCUGGGGCUUCACACAUGCUACAAUGGUCGGCACAGUGGGCAGCAAUCCCGCGAGGGGGAGCGAAUCUCGAAAAUCCGACCUCAGUUCGGAUCGCAGGCUGCAACUCGCCUGCGUGAAGCCGGAAUCGCUAGUAACCGCAGGUCAGCUAAACUGCGGUGAAUACGUUCCCGGGCCUUGCACACACCGCCCGU